CCUACGGGAGGCAGCAGUGAGGAAUAUUGGUCAAUGGGCGGGAGCCUGAACCAGCCAAGUCGCGUGAAGGAAGAAGGUACUUAGUAUUGUAAACUUCUUUUGUCGGGGAACAAAGGCGGAGACGCGUCUCCGGAUGAGUGUACCCGAAGAAAAAGCAUCGGCUAACUCCGUGCCAGCAGCCGCGGUAAUUCGGAGGAUGCGAGGGUUAUCCGGUUUUAUUGGGUUUAAGGGGUGCCCAGGGGGGAGAUCAAGUCAGCGGUAAACUGUCGGGGAUCAACCCCGGCCGGCCGUUGAAACUGGUUUUCUAGAGUUGGAGAGAAGUAAGCGGAAUUCGUGGUGUAGCGGUGAAAUGCAUAGAUAUCACGAAGAACUCCGAUUGCGAAGGCAGCAUACCGGCUCCAUACUGACGCUGAGGCACGAAAGCGUGGGGAGCGAACAGGAUUAGAUACCCCAGUAGUC
rnacentral:rRNA from 1 species